CCUACGGGUGGCAGCAGUGAGGAAUAUUGGUCAAUGGACGAGAGUCUGAACCAGCCAAGUAGCGUGAAGGAUGACUGCCCUAUGGGUUGUAAACUUCUUUUAUAUGGGAAUAAAAUGUUCCACGUGUGGGCUUUUGUAUGUACCAUAUGAAUAAGGAUCGGCUAACUCCGUGCCAGCAGCCGCGGUAAUACGGAGGAUCCGAGCGUUAUCCGGAUUUAUUGGGUUUAAAGGGUGCGUAGGCGGAAUGCCAAGUCAGCGGUAAAAGCGCGGGGCUCAACCUCGCUCCGCCGUUGAAACUGGCGUUCUUGAGUGGGCGAGAAGUAUGCGGAAUGCGUGGGGUAGCGGUGAAAUGCAUUGAUAUCACGCAGAACUCCGAUUGCGAAGGCAGCAUACCGGCGCCCAACUGACGCUGAAGCACGAAAGCGUGGGUAUCGAACAGGAUUAGAUACCCCAGUAGUC
rnacentral:rRNA from 1 species